rnacentral:rRNA from 1 species
GAUGAACGCUGGCGGCGUGCCUAAUACAUGCAAGUCGAGCGAACAGACGAGGAGCUUGCUCCUCUGACGUUAGCGGCGGACGGGUGAGUAACACGUGGAUAACCUACCUAUAAGUCUGGGAUAACUUCGGGAAACCGGAGCUAAUACCGGAUAAUAUAUUGAACCGCAUGGUUCAAUAGUGAAAGACGGUUUUGCUGUCACUUAUAGAUGGAUCCGCGCCGCAUUAGCUAGUUGGUAAGGUAACGGCUUACCAAGGCAACGAUGCGUAGCCGACCUGAGAGGGUGAUCGGCCACACUGGAACUGAGCCACGGUCCAGACUCCUACGGGAGGCAGCAGUAGGGAAUCUUCCGCAAUGGGCGAAAGCCUGACGGAGCAACGCCGCGUGAGUGAUGAAGGUCUUCGGAUCGUAAAACUCUGUUAUUAGGGAAGAACAAAUGUGUAAGUAACUAUGCACGUCUUGACGGUACCUAAUCAGAAAGCCACGGCUAACUACGUG